AAGGUGUGAGCGUUGAGAAGCUUUGUGUCCUGCAUGCAGCUGGUUGAGUCUCGCGAGAGCGAGACUCACACAGAGACACAGUGAAGAGCCAGUCUGUUGGAUUCUGGUCUGAGGUUCUGCUCGGAGGUUCUGGAUCAUGAGGGAACCAACAUCGAGACCAGCUGCUGUUCUGCUGCUGGUUCUACUGCACAGCUGCCUGGCUGACCAUGUUUUCCUGAACAGCCGACUGGCCUCACAGGUUCUGGUCCGAAAUCGACGAGCCAAUCAGAUGUUUGAGGAGAUUAAACCAGGUAACGUGUCUGCUCUGUGUGUCUCAUUCAGUGUGUUCAUUAGUGUGUAUUAGUGUGUAUUAGUGUGUAUUAUU